rnacentral:tRNA from 1 species
GAAGGUAUAGUUCAGUGGUAGAGUGCGUGCUUAGCAUGCAUGAGGUCCUGGGUUCAAUCCCCAGUACCUCCA